rnacentral:rRNA from 1 species
ACAGCAGCAGCCACGGUAAUACGAAGGGUGCAAGCGUUAAUCGGAAUUACUGGGCGUAAAGCGUGCGUAGGCGGUUUGUUAAGUCUGUUGUGAAAUCCCCGGGCUCAACCUGGGAAUGGCAAUGGAUACUGGCAAGCUAGAGUGUGUCAGAGGAUGGUGGAAUUCCCGGUGUAGCGGUGAAAUGCGUAGAGAUCGGGAGGAACAUCAGUGGCGAAGGCGGCCAUCUGGGACAACACUGACGCUGAGGCACGAAAGCGUGGGGAGCAAACAGGAUUAGAUACCCCUGUAGUCCCUGUCUCUUAUAC